rnacentral:rRNA from 1 species
AACGAACGCUGGCGGCAUGCCUAACACAUGCAAGUCGAACGAGACCUUCGGGUCUAUGGGCGCACGUGUGCGUAACGCGUGGGAACCUGCCCUUAGGUUCGGAAUAACUCCCCGAAAGGGGUGCUAAUACCGGAUAAUGUCUUCGGACCAAAGAUUUAUCGCCUUUGGAUGGGCCCGCGUUGGAUUAGCUAGUUGGUAGGGUAAAAGCCUACCAAGGCGACGAUCCAUAGCUGGUCUGAUAGGAUGAUCAGCCACACUGGGAAUGAGACACGGCCCAGACUCCUACGGGAGGCAGCAGUGGGGAAUAUUGGACAAUGGGCGAAAGCCUGAUAAAGCAAUGCCGCGUGAGUGAUGAAGGCCUUAGGGUUGUAAAGCUCUUUUACCCGGGAUGAUAAUGACAGUACCGGGAGAAUAAGCUCCGGCUAACUCCGUG